AUUGAACGCUGGCGGCAUGCCUUACACAUGCAAGUCGAACGGUAACGCGGGGCAACCUGGCGACGAGUGGCGAACGGGUGAGUAAUGUAUCGGAACGUGCCCAGUUGUGGGGGAUAACUGCUCGAAAGAGCAGCUAAUACCGCAUACGACCUGAGGGUGAAAGCGGGGGAUCGCAAGACCUCGCGCAGUUGGAGCGGCCGAUAUCAGAGUAGGUAGUUGGUGGGGUAAAGGCUCACCAAGCCAACGAUCUGUAGCUGGUCUGAGCGGACGACCAGCCACACGGGGACUGAGACACGGCCCAGACUCCUACGGGAGGCAGCAGUGGGGAAUUUUGGACAGUGGGCGCAAGCCUCAUCCAGCCAUGCCGCGUGCGGGAAGAAGGCCUUCGGGUUGUAAACCGCUUUUGUCAGAGAAGAAAAGACUCCUGUUAAUACCGGGGGUUCAUGACGGUACCUGAAGAAUAAGCACCGGCUAACUACGUGCCAGCCGCCGCGGUAA
rnacentral:rRNA from 1 species